ACACCCUACGGGUUGCUCAGGUCCGCCGCAUCUCCUGGGUCCGUGGGGCAGGCCGGCCGGUCGUGAUUCAGGAGUGGCCUCCUCGGAAUUGCGCCGGCCGGCCACCUG
rnacentral:sRNA from 1 species